rnacentral:rRNA from 1 species
AUUCCAGCUCCAAUAGCGUAUAUUAAAGUUGUUGCGGUUAAAAAGCUCGUAGUUGGAUCUCGGCGGGCAGGGGGUGGUUCGCUCUUCAGCGCUACUGCCCCGCUUUGCCCGUGUGAUUGGCGGAGGUUUCGGGGUGCUCUUCGUUGAGUGACUCGGAGCGCCGUCAGGUUUACUUUGAAAAAAUUAGAGUGCUCAAAGCAGGCUUUUCACGCUUGAAUAUUCGUGCAUGGAAUAAUGGAAUAGGACUUUGGUUCAUUUUAUUGGUUAUUGAACCUUAGUAAUGAUUAACAGGGACAGUUGGGGGCAUUAGUAUUAAAUUGUCAGAGGUGAAAUUCUUGGAUUUAUUAAAGACUAACUUAUGCGAAAGCAUUUGCCAAGGAUGUUUUCAUUA